UAUGAUAGGGGUUAAUGUGUUAAUAAUCACCUAACCUAGACCUUGAAUAUACACCCCCUAACCUUCUAAAUCAUCGACCCAUAACCCAUAACCCUUCUAAAUACGCAAUGUGAUUUAUUCCCAUUGCUCUGCAUGUCAAAGUGAAGAAAUUCAACCAAACGCGGGUAAACAAUAGGAGUAACUAUGACUAUCUUAAGGUAGCUAGAUGCCUCGUCAUAUAAUUAGUGACAUGCAUGAAUGGAUCAUUAACGAUAUUCCCCACUGUCCCUAGCUACUAUAUUCUAGAGAAACCACAUCCAAGGGAAUGGGCUUGGCAAAAUUAGCGGGGAAAGAAGACCCUCAUAUUGAGCUUGACUCUAGUCCUAACCCAUUCAUAGUUUGGGA
rnacentral:ncRNA from 1 species